AUUGAACGCUGGCGGCAGGCCUAACACAUGCAAGUCGAGCGGAUGAAGGGAGCUUGCUCCUGGAUUCAGCGGCGGACGGGUGAGUAAUGCCUAGGAAUCUGCCUGGUAGUGGGGGAUAACGUCCGGAAACGGGCGCUAAUACCGCAUACGUCCUGCGGGAGAAAGUGGGGGAUCUUCGGACCUCACGCUAUCAGAUGAGCCUAGGUCGGAUUAGCUAGUUGGUGGGGUAAAGGCCUACCAAGGCGACGAUCCGUAACUGGUCUGAGAGGAUGAUCAGUCACACUGGAACUGAGACACGGUCCAGACUCCUACGGGAGGCAGCAGUGGGGAAUAUUGGACAAUGGGCGAAAGCAUGAUCCAGCCAGGCCGCGUGUGUGAAGAAGGUCUUCGGAUUGUAAAGCACUUUAAGUUGGGAGGAAGGGCAGUAAGUUAAGACCUUGCUGUUUUGACGUUACCAACAGAAUAAGCACCGGCUAACUACGUG
rnacentral:rRNA from 1 species